rnacentral:rRNA from 1 species
UACGGGGGGUGCGAGCGUUGUUCGGAUUUAUUGGGCGUAAAGCGCGUGUAGGCGGUCCCGUAAGUCCGCUGUGAAAGUCGAGGGCUCAACCCUCGAAUGCCGGUGGAUACUGUCGGGCUUGAGUACGGGAGAGGCGAGUGGAAUUCCUGGUGUAGCGGUGAAAUGCGCAGAUAUCAGGAAGAACACCCGUGGCGAAGGCGGCUCUCUGGGACGGUACUGACGCUGAGACGCGAAAGCGUGGGGAGCGAACAGG